rnacentral:rRNA from 1 species
CCUUUUCCGGUUGAUCCUGCCGGACCCUACUGCUAUCGGGGUGGGACUAAGACAUGCAAGUUGAGCGUCUCUAAGCUAUGGUAGAGACGCGGCAUACGGCUCAGUAACACGUGGCCAACCUACCCUUAGGACGGGGACAACCCCGGGAAACUGGGACUAAUAUCCGAUAGAUUAGGAGGCCUGGAAUGGUUCUUAGUCGAAAAGGCUUUGAAACCAUGCUUUUCAACGUCGCCUAAGGAUGGGGCCGCGCCCGAUCAGGCUGUUGGUGGGGUAAUGGCUCACCAAACCUAUAACCGGUGCGGGCCGUGAGAGCGGGAGCCCGGAGAUGGGCACUGAGACAAGGGCCCAGGCCCUACGGGGCGCAGCAGUCGCGAAAACUCCGCAAUGCGCGAAAGCGUGACGGGGCUACCCCGAGUGCCGUCCGCUGAGGAUGGCUUUUCCCCGGUGUAAUGAGCCGGGGGAAUAAGGAGAGGGCAAGUCUGGUGUCAGCCGCCGCGGUAAUACCAGCUCUCCGAGUGGUAGGGACGAUUAUUGGGCUUAAAGCGUCCGUAGCCGGCUUAGCAAGUCUCCUGUUAAAUUCAGCGACCUAAUCGUUGAGCCGCGGGAGAUACUACUAGGCUAGGAGGCGGGAGAGGCCGACGGUAUUCUCGGGGUAGGGGUGAAAUCCUAUAAUCCCGGGAGGACCACCAGUGGCGAAGGCUGUCGGCUAGAACGCGCUCGACGGUGAGGGACGAAAGCUGGGGGAGCGAACCGGAUUAGAUACCCGGGUAGUCCCAGCUGUAAACGAUGCGGGCUAGGUGUUGGGGUGGCUACGAGCCACUUCAGUGCCGCAGGGAAGCCAUUAAGCCCGCCGCCUGGGGAGUACGGCCGCAAGGCCGAAACUUAAAGGAAUUGGCGGGGGAGCACCACAAGGCGUGAAGCUUGCGGUUCAAUUGGAGUCAACGCCGGGAAGGGGGAAUUCGGUUUA